rnacentral:lncRNA from 1 species
UGUCAUAUUCCCAAAUAGGAAAACUGGGAUCACCUGAUUUGAAAGUGUGAUAGCUUCUUUAUCCUAACUCCUAAGAGAUUUAUUCAACUUCCUGGGAUUCUCCACUACUUUAUGUAUACAAAUACAGCUUCUCACAUCGCGAAUCAUUCUGGUUUGAUUAGAAUGACGAAGAAUUUGUCAUAUUCCCAAACAGGAAAACUGGGAUCACCUGAUUUGAAAGUGGAAUAGCUUCUUCAUCCUAACUCCUAUGAGAUUUAUUCAACUUCCUGGGAUUCUCCACUACUUUAUGUAUCCAAAUACAGCUUCUCGCAUCGCGAUUUAUCCUAGUUUGAUUAGUAUGACGAAGAACUUAUCAUAUUCCCAAACAGAAAAACUGGGAUCACCUUAUUUGAAAGUGGGAUAGCUUCUUCGUCCUAACUCCAAAGAGAUUUAUUCAACUUCCUGGGAUUCUCCACUACUUCAUGUAUCCAAAUACAGCCUCUCACAUUGCGAUUCACUAUGGUUUGAUUAGAAUGACGAAGAACUUGUCAUAUUCUCAAACAGGAAAACUGGGAUCACCUGAUUUGAAAGUGAGAUAGCUUCUUCAUCCUAACUCCUAUGAGAUUUAUUCAACUUCCUGAGAUUCUCCACUACUUUAUGUAUCCAAAUACAGCUUCUCACAUUGCGAUUCAUCCUGGUUUGAUUAGAAUGACGAAGAACUUGUCAUAUUCCCAAACAGGAAAACUGGGAUCACCAUAUUUGAAACUGGGAUAGCUUCUUCAUCCUAACUCCUAUGAGAUUAAUUCAACUUCCUGGUGAUUCUCCACUACUUUAUGUAUCCAAAUACAGCUUCUUAUAUCGCGAU